CAGCCGUAAACUAUGCUCGCUAGGUGUCAGGCAUGGCGCGGCCGUGUCUGGUGCCGCAGGGAAGCCGUGAAGCGAGCCACCUGGGAAGUACGGCCGCAAGGCUGAAACUUAAAGGAAUUGGCGGGGGAGCACAACAACGGGUGGAGCCUGCGGUUUAAUUGGACUCAACGCCGGACAACUCACCGGGAACGACAGCAAUAUGUAGGCCAGGCUGAAGACCUUGCCUGAAUCGCUGAGAGGAGGUGCAUGGCGUAGACGUCU
rnacentral:rRNA from 1 species